CCUACGGGAGGCAGCAGUGGGGAAUAUUGGGCAAUGGGCGCAAGCCUGACCCAGCAAUGCCGCGUGAAGGAAGAAGGCUUUCGGGUUGUAAACUUCUUUUAAUAUGGAAGAGCAGAAGACGGUACCUCUUUAAUAAGCUACGGCUAACGACGUGCCAGCAGCCGCGGUAAUACGUAGGUGGCAAGCGUUGUCCGGAUUUACUGGGUGUAAAGGGCGUGUAGCCGGGCUGACAAGUCAGAUGUGAAAUCUCGUGGCUCAACCACGGAACUGCAUUUGAAACUGGCGGUCUUGAGUAUAGGAGAGGCAGGCGGAAUUCCUAGUGUAGCGGUGAAAUGCGUAGAUAUUAGGAGGAACACCAGUGGCGAAGGCGGCCUGCUGGACGACAACUGACGGUGAGGCGCGAAAGCGUGGGGAGCAAACAGGAUUAGAUACCCGUGUAGUC
rnacentral:rRNA from 1 species